UACGGGGGGUGCGAGCGUUGUCCGGAAUCACUGGGCGUAAAGGGCGCGUAGGUGGCUCUGUAAGUUUGCGGUGAAAGCCCGGGGCUCAGCCCCGGGUCUACCGUGGAUACUGCAAGGCUUGAGUACUGUAGAGGCAGGUAGAAUAUCGGGUGUAGCGGUGGAAUGCGUAGAGAUGCGAUAGAAGAACGGUGGCGAAGGCGGCCUGCUGGGCAGUAACUGACGCUGAGGCGCGACAGCGUGGGGAGCAAACAGG
rnacentral:rRNA from 1 species